GACAGAGGGUGCAAACGUUGUUCGGAAUUACUGGGCGUAAAGCGUGUGUAGGCGGCUACAUAAGUCGGAUGUGAAAGCCCCGGGCUCAACCCGGGAAGUGCACUCGAUACUGCGUAGCUUGAGUCUCGGAGAGGUUGGUGGAAUUCUCGGUGUAGAGGUGAAAUUCGUAGAUAUCGAGAGGAACACCGGUGGCGAAGGCGGGACUCUGGGCCGAUACUGACGCUGAGGAGCGAAAGCGUGGGGAGCGAACAGG
rnacentral:rRNA from 1 species